rnacentral:rRNA from 1 species
AUGGAUCCCUCGUGGCGACACUCGCAUGCCAUCGUCUCAUCAAGGGAGAGCAUCCUGACCCGCAUGUUGGAGCUGAUCGACCGUAGUACCGGGAGGUGGGAUGAUGAACUGGUGAGAAACUAUUUUCAGUCGGAUGAUGUGCAGGUCAUUUUGAGUAUUCCAAUAUUGCACGACUUCGCUUGGAGGCUUGCUCAGAAUAGCCACCCAAUGUACAUGAACAUGAGCAAACAAGGUGUUGAGCUAGAUACGAGAUGUGCAGUCUGCGGACGUUUGUUCAAGGAUGGUGGCCACCUGUUUUCCAAUUGCAAGCUCGUCAUACAAAGAUGGAGGGCGUUGCUUCUUGAGGAGGAGCGGAGCCAACUCUCUAUGCUCAAUUCGGUGAAAGAAGUUGUUCAGGCAAUCGUGAAAUACCCAGAUGAUAAGAAACUCCCAAUCAUCGCCUUGCUCUAG